rnacentral:rRNA from 1 species
UAGGGAAUCUUCGGCAAUGGACGGAAGUCUGACCGAGCAACGCCGCGUGAGUGAAGAAGGUUUUCGGAUCGUAAAGCUCUGUUGUAAGAGAAGAACGAGUGUGAGAGUGGAAAGUUCACACUGUGACGGUAUCUUACCGGAAAGGGACGGCUAACUACGUGCCAGCAGCCGCGGUAAUACGUAGGUCCCGAGCGUUAUCCGGAUUUAUUGGGCGUAAAGCGAGCGCAGGCGGUUAGAUAAGUCUGAAGUUAAAGGCUGUGGCUUAACCAUAGUACGCUUUGGAAACUGUUUAACUUGAGUGCAAGAGGGGAGAGUGGAAUUCCAUGUGUAGCGGUGAAAUGCGUAGAUAUAUGGAGGAACACCGGUGGCGAAAGCGGCUCUCUGGCUUGUAACUGACGCUGAGGCUCGAAAGCGUGGGGAGCAAACAGGAUUAGAUACCCUGGUAGUCCACGCCGUAAACGAUGAGUGCUAGGUGUUAGACCCUUUCCGGGGUUUAGUGCCGCAGCUAACGCAUUAAGCACUCCGCCUGGGGAGUACGACCGCAAGGUU